rnacentral:lncRNA from 1 species
AUGUAUUAACUGAUUACAAAGGAAGAUUUAAUAAUAAAAAAUAUUCUAAUAAAUUUAAAUAGAAAUUAUUCGAAUGUUAAGAAAUUAUUACCAAAAAAUAAAAUUUAAAGAUAUUUUUAUUUACAAAUAUUGUUUAAUAUUGGUAUGUAAUUUACAUAUAACAAAUAUUUUUUAAGCAGAAAUCGUUUAUAAUAUUGUUUAAUAACCAAUGUUUUUAAGAAAGCACCUCACAGACUGCUCCAUCAGGAGGAAACAGUUAUCUCUACUAUUAUACGAAAUUGAAAUCUAUGUCACAAUCCUGCAUGGCACAAUGUUUUCGAUCCUACAUCUCCUACAUUGUUCGCUGCUCGACCUUCAUGCGUUCCUUAUUGUUCGGUCUUCGAAUGCAAGAAUUACUGAACGAAGUCGGUAUUGAUGUAUCAGCCAUAUGUAAAUCUGAACACCCC